CGUCCCGAAUCGUCAUAUAUUGACGCUUGGUCACACACAUCAUAUUUUGACGCCUUGGGUGUGAGAAUGUGGCUGAUCACCAGUCGCCGUUUUCUAGGUCCAAACCUCUUUUGUUGUCCAUGGCUUCAAAUGAUGUAUUUCUUUUUGGGACUCUGGUAGUUUGUCCUAAAGUUGAAGUGGUAGCAGCCGGCUGUUUCACCUUCUCUGAUAUUAUUGAGUGGAGAACCUCUCACACCAUGGUGUUCUGUUGCUACAGAAGCGAGUGCAUAAAACAGCUCUCAAUCCUGCUCUUGGUGGGCUGGUAUCCAGCACAUUUUAGUGGUUUCUCUGCUCCAACACACUUGAUUUAGUAGUAGAAUCACCUGUGCAGCAGCUCAUCCAGCUCUGCAGGAGCGUUAAUCAGCUGCUGAUUGAAAUCAAGAGUGUUGAAACAGUGUUUGAACUAAAACAUGCUGGAUACCGGCCCAUGGGACCAACAACUGGAUGCUCCUAUCGUUGCUUUUGGUGUUAUUGGUGGAGGAUUUCAGACAAACGCAAGAAACCCACUUUAUUAUUUUUCCCCGUUUUUCUAAAUCUGCAGAAUAAAUGUGUAGCUUCACUGUGUUAGAAAAUUGUUAAAAGACAUCAGAAAAUAAUUAAGCUCAGCUGUUUUCCAAAUUUGCUGUUGCAGCUUGAAUUUUCACUUCUGCUCCACCAAUAAAACCCCCUGAUGGAAAAACCCUGGAGGACCGGAUGCAGAGGUUCGAUGUUCGUUCCGCGUCAGCUGCAGUCCGGAGCUGCGCCUGCUGGGAAGACGGUCAAGGUUCUGCUGCGGAUUCUGGCUAUUUGGAUUUGAAAACUUAAAUCGUUACGGAGGAAAACUUAAGGAAAAGAUAAUCUCACAGAGCCGUCUGGUGUAGGAUUUUCAAAACACCGAUCCCCGACCGUCUCCAUGGGAAUUAUGUUGGUGGUAGCAGUAGUCCUGAAGCUAUACGCCAUUGGAACGGCACUUUCUUUGCUGGCCAUCCUGUACGGAGUAGCGGACUCCUUCGGAGGGCUCAUGUACUCUCCAAACAACCUUUAUAUAGAUGAACGGAACCAUCCGAUACAGGAGCAGCUCGCCUCCAGCAGCCACCAACGAGGAUACUCCAAAAACAUCGGCUCCUGAUGGAUUUUCAAUGCUGAACUUUACUUUACAGCUAAACUCAGAGAAAAAUCACUGCACUACUAAAUGAUGGCUUGCACUAAAGCUUUGAAAUGUUUGUUUGAAAAACCUUUUUUUUAUUGGAGCUCCUGUUUGGAACAGGAAAAGCAUCAGCAGUGGAUUUGACAUCACUGACGGGUCCAAACGUUGUCAGGACCUGUUCCGACUUUCUCGGCCCCUCAGGAGAGAAGCGUCGUGCCAAGACUGUGAAUCACAAUUCAUUAGUGUUCUUAAACAAACUGUCAUCAUGACGUGUAACAGCAGCUAGAUCCAGUAUGUCUUUGUAAACGUGUGUGUAGUUUGUUCUGCUGAUUGGAUUUUUUAAAAUAACGAUUGAGAUAAAAAGCAGAAUAAGGUAGAAAAUGAGAAUUUUAUUUCUGAAUUAGGAUGGAUGCUGACAAUAAAUGAGCAGAAUGAUGAAACCA